GCAUACCAAAGUUAUAACAACUUUAACAUUUUUAUAUUGAAGGUCACAGUGACCUUCACCUUCAAAUGAAUGACCUUGAAAUGACCAGUGGUCAUCUGUUAAUCCUGGCCAACCUUCAUGUCAAGUUUGAAGACUCUAGGUCCAAGCAUACCAAAGUUAUAACAACUUUAACAUUUUUACAUUCAAGGUCACAGUGACCUUGACCUUCAAAUGAAUGACCUUGAAAUGUCCAGUGGUUACUUACUAGUUCUGGCCAACCUUCAUGUCAAGUUUCAAGACUCUAGGUCCAAGCAUACCAAAGUUAUAACAACUUUAACAUUUUUAUAUUGAAGGUCACAGUGACCUUCACCUUCAAAUGAAUGACCUUGAAAUGACCAGUGGUCAUCUGUUAAUCCUGGCCAACCUUCAUGUCAAGUUUGAAGACUCUAGGUCCAAGCAUACCAAAGUUAUAACAACUUUAACAUUUUUUAUAUUGAAGGUCACAGUGACCUUGACCUUCAAAUGAAUGACCUUGAAAUGACCAGUGGUCAUCUGUUAAUCCUGGCCAACCUUCAUGUCAAGUUUGAAGACUCUAGGUCCAAGCAUACCAAAGUUAUACCAUGAAAUAAGAACUUUA